rnacentral:tRNA from 1 species
GUCCACAUAGCUUACACAAA